rnacentral:lncRNA from 1 species
AUGAGCGCACAAACCUUUUAUAUCGAUGUCAGAGUGUUUUUUCCUCGCAGGAGAGGCUUUAAUAAAGCAGAGAAGAGGCUGGAUGUUCUCUAUGCGCCUCCAGACAGCACAGCUUCCGGAUACUCUGUCAGAGUGAGGCAGAAGGUGGAUGCCACAAAUGCUGACAUGAAGCAGAGUUGGAGUAUUUCAUGUUUUCAUCAAUUUGUAUUUAUGCUAUUUAUAGCCUUCCAAUGCCAAUGCCAAACUAAAAUUCCACCCAUGACAGAUGGACGUUGUUCAAAAGGAUAUUACAAAUCAGGACAGGACUGUGUGAAGUGUGCGAGUGGUUUUUAUACUGAUUUACCAAAUAAUCUGAAACAUUGUUUGAGAUGUA